UACGUAGGGUGCGAGCGUUGUCCGGAAUUAUUGGGCGUAAAGAGCUCGUAGGCGGUUUGUCGCGUCGACUGUGAAAACUGGGGGCUUAACUCUCAGCUUGCAGUUGAUACGGGCAGACUUGAGUUCGGUAGGGGAGACUGGAAUUCCUGGUGUAGCGGUGAAAUGCGCAGAUAUCGGGAGGAACACCGGUGGCGAAGGCGGGUCUCUGGGCCGAUACUGACGCUGAGGAGCGAAAGCGUGGGGAGCGAACAGG
rnacentral:rRNA from 1 species